CUUUCUUUCUUUUCUUUCUUUUUUCUUUUUUUUCCUUGAGGAAGCGGCUUGAAGCUGUCAGGGCCCGCUUUCCGAUAACAACCUGGGGUGGAGAAUGACACCUUGAGAGUGACAGAUGAAAAGGAAUCAAAUUCUCCCUGGAGCCAACUGUAUGGAACUGAUACAGCCUUCCCCCCGUUUCUCUACCCGUAAACAUUCCACAGCAUUAACUUAUUUAAAUAGAGGGUCAAGCCUUAUUUUAGACACAAGACCUGUCCCAAGGAGCGGAGCAGGAAGGGGAAAUUGAAUGGAAGUUGAGGAAAGAAAAUUGAGUAAUUGUCCUUCUGAAUUAAUGCCUUUUAAUCUCUUCCUUAGCUGCUGAGUGAUAAUGAAAAAGUACGAAAAGGGCACUGAGACUUGGCAAGGCGAGGUUUUGAUUGUGCCUUUGCAAUAACACAGACUUACUGACUUAAUAUGAGGGCAACCAAACUGAGACAUAUUCUGAUGAGAGCCCUUAAGAAACCCCAUUCAAGUAUCCCUUCCCACUUUAUACAUCUGGUCAGGAAUCAGCCGUGUAGUCAAAGAAGUGCCCGAAAUCCGUGCCGCAUACACCCAGCAUCAUUCUGACACUUACCCUGGCUGUGAAGAACACUCAGGAUGAACUUCAUCUGUGAUCCUUCAAUUAAGUGCAAGAAGCACGUUGGUCUGGCUUUUAUGAAGGUAGCUGACAUUAUAAGUAAUGCGUGUUUUACUCCUUAAGGUUGAGUCCAUGGAAAAGGUAAAGGUUGGGUGACUCACACACAGCUGCAGAGAUUAGAGAUUGCUCCCCCGGCACAAGCGUUUUCUGGGCAUUCUGGGCUUCUUCCUCUGUCUAUCACUUACCCUCUUAUUUCUUCUGAGAGCGAGAUCCCAUGCUGUGCUGCAGAUUGAAGACACUGCGUCUGGAAAUCAACUGCUUGGCUAGGUGCCUUCUGCAAGUUAAAAUUCCUAUGCAGUCCAAUGGGCUGAAAAAGGGAGGGGGCCAACAGACUGACAGCCUGAAAAAAGGUGCCCGGAGGAGGCCUCAGCAUGUGGUGCUCUGAUGGCAACUGGAAUGCGGUCUACCCCUACUCACCUCCCUUCCCAGCACUAUGUGGUUGCCUCCAGCGAAGGUCUAUAUGUUUUGUGCUGCCAUUUUUACCCCUUGUGAAAACACAUUUACACAUAUACGCAUGCAACAUUUACAAGCACAUGUCUCCACUGGCACAUGCCUACCUGGCUCAGCUCCUCCAUUAUGCCCCCCCCCCUCCCAUCCUGCGCCCCGCCCUCCCCUCAGUAGGAUAACACCUGCAGUUAAGGUCAUUGCCCUGCCUGCCAGCCUCCUCUGCUGCAUUAAAGCUUCACUCUGUUCUUUGUACUCAGCGGACUGCUUUUUGAUCAUUUGUUUGCAUCACACAAUGCGUUUUUACAGCACAUACAGAUUCUCUUUGAAUAUAUCAGUCCUGCCCUCAGGGAACCUCACCAUGCUCUGAUCUGUCAAUGAUGGAACCAUCUGUA